CGAUGGUUGUCGUCAGCUCGUGUCGUGAGAUGUUGGGUUAAGGUCCCGCAACGAGCGCAACCCUUCGUGUUUAGUUUGCAAACAAGGUCAAGCUGUGCACUCUAGACAGACUGCCGUGGACAACACGGAGGAAGGUGGGGAGUGACGUCAAAUCAUCAUGCCCCUUAUGAUCUGGGCUACACACGUGCUACAAUGGCCGGUACAACGGGCAGCGAAGGAGCGAUCCGGAGCGAAUCCUAAAAAGCCGGUCCCAGUUCGGAUUGCAGGCUGAAACUCGCCUACAUGAAGUUGGAGUUGCUAGUAAUCGCGAAUCAGAAUGUCGCGGUGAAUGCGUUCCCGGGUCUU
rnacentral:rRNA from 1 species